UGGGGAAUAUUGCACAAUGGGGGAAACCCUGAUGCAGCGACGCCGCGUGAGCGAAGAAGUAUUUCGGUAUGUAAAGCUCUAUCAGCAGGGAAGAAAAAAAUGACGGUACCUGAGUAAGAAGCACCGGCUAAAUACGUGCC
rnacentral:rRNA from 1 species